UGUAGGAGUGAGCCUGCUCGCGAUAGCGGUGUGUCAGUUAACGCAUGUGCUGGCUGACACCGCUAUCGCGAGCAGGCUCACUCCUACA
rnacentral:misc_RNA from 1 species